rnacentral:rRNA from 1 species
AGUGAACGCUGGCGGCGUGCCUAAUACAUGCAAGUCGAACGGAGAUUAAGUAGCUUGCUAUUUAUUCUUAGUGGCGCACGGGUGAGUAAUAUAUAGCUAACUUGCCCAUUACUAAGGGACAACAGUUGGAAACGACUGCUAAUACCUUAUACUCCGUAUCUAUAUAAGUAGAUACGGUAAAGUUUUUCGGUAAUGGAUAGGGCUAUAUCGUAUCAGCUAGUUGGUAAGGUAAUGGCUUACCAAGGCUAUGACGCGUAACUGGUCUGAGAGGAUGAUCAGUCACACUGGAACUGAGACACGAUCCAGACUCCUACGGGAGGAAGCAGUAGGGAAUAUUGCACAAUGGGGGAAACCCUGAAGCAGCAAUGCCGCGUGGAGGAUGACACUUUUCGGAGCGUAAACUCCUUUUCUUGGGAAAGAAUUAUGACGGUACCCAAGGAAUAAGCACCGGCUAACUCCGU